CGAGCAGCGCACCCGGCAGGUGAAACGGCCCAGGCGCUCGCGAUCACUUACGAGGGGAAGCCUUGCUAAGAUGUCGGAAGCUGACCUACAGUCUCAUGGAAUCGUGCCCCAGGAGGCGAGGGUUUUCCAAAAUGCAGCAAAGUAAGCGUUUUCAUCCUCUGGCAAAAGCCCAUGACAGAUAACCUGACUUCUUGAGCAUUAAGUCUGCGUUAACUCUCAAGAACCUUUUCAUCUUUUAAACACUAUUCAUGAAGUGCAGGUUUCCCUCGCCAUCCGAAGGUAGAGCAUUCCUAUGAAACGGUGCGUAAGCCGGAAUGUCGUAAAGCGAAGAAGCAAUUACCAUUUAUUUAUAUGGGAAAAUUUUGUGGGCGUUCGCAGACCCAAAAAUAACCUACCAAAUCAUGCCAAAUAACACAUAAAACCUAAAAUAACAGUAAUAUAUAGUAAAAGCAGUAAUGAUAUGAUAAAUACACAGCUUAUAUAAAGUAGAAAUACUUUUCCACAAUCAUUGCCUGAACUGUUCUCCGUAGCGAAAAUCUCACGCAAGCACCGUCAGCAAAAGCACGACGCAAGCGCUCUCCAGUAACCUUUAAGCUAUGAAGCUGCCAAAUCAUACCAAAUAACACGUUAAGGUACGCAGCCAAUAUAAAGUAGAAAUAAUGUAUGUACAGUGUAGUAUCACUUACUGGAAUUGGGACAUCACAGAGCACACUGAUGAUGGUGUGUUAGACU